GGAAAAUUAUACUUUCAUAAAGUUCUAUUAAUAUGUUGUGGAGGACAAUUUGAGAGCCCUCAGAACUUAAAUGUAAAUAUUCAAAAUUCAACAGUUUGAUUUCCUAUGGAAAUAUAUUUACAUUUAGACAAAAAGAUAUGUAGAAAUGUUUAAUUGCAUCUUUUACUGUAAUAAUAAACUAUUGGAUAUUAAUGUAAUUUUAUUAAUAGAAAAAUGGUUAAGUGAUUUAUGGCACAUCCAAUUCAAGCAGAUGUUAAAUGUGAUAUAGCUGUUAAGCAUAUUAAUCUUUAUUGUAGUGACCAAAAAAUAUGUUGAAAACACUCGUACUGAAUAAAACAAAUAUAAUGAGUAACAGUGGCUUUUUCUGAGAAAAGGACUGGAAUUAUGAAUAAUGCUUGGUGAGAGAGAUUUUGAACAUUCUACUCUGUACACUCAAUUUUUAGAAUAACUUUUAAUCUACCUUUGUAUUACAAUACAUGUACAUUAAAAUAGUCAGUUUCAAAAGAUAUAUCUGAAACUAUUCAUGAACAUUUAGAUAAAGUUAAUAUUAUCUUGCAACUCUGAUCUUGUGUAUAUUAUCUGAUAAUAUUAUUCAUGCAACCUGUAGGAAUCAAAAAUUCAACCCUGAUAACUUUUGACUCAUUAAUUUUAACUUUUUAUUUUGAGAUAUUGUAGAUACAUAAGCAGUUAUAAGAAAUAAUACAGAUAGAACUCAUAUGUCCUUCACCCCCAAUGGUAAUAUUUGCUUAGCAAUUGACUCAUUAAAUUUUAUAUGAAAAAAAUGCUUAGUGCAUUUCUUUACAGGAAAAAUACAUUUUCAAUUACUUUCUCAACUUAUAAAAUGACUUUGGAUUAAAAAUAGAGGUACAUAGAUUUAUGUCUUAGCUUUUGGUAAGGAUUUUUAUAUGUAUUCAAAUAUUGCAGGAAGAUAUUAUAUGAAACCAAU
rnacentral:lncRNA from 10 species